rnacentral:rRNA from 1 species
UACAGAGGGGGCUAGCGUUGUUCGGAAUUACUGGGCGUAAAGGGCGCGUAGGUGGCCUGUUAAGUCGAACGUGAAAUCCCCGGGCUCAACCCGGGAACUGCGUCCGAGACUGGCAGGCUCGAAUCCGGGAGAGGGAUGUGGAAUUCCCGGUGUAGCGGUGAAAUGCGUAGAUAUCGGGAGGAACAUCAGUGGCGAAGGCGGCCCUCUGGUCCAGUACUGACACUCAAGUGCGAAAGCGUGGGGAGCAAACAGG